AUUCAGCUGACGUGUCCCAAAUAGAAUGAAACGUGAGUCAAACUGGAU
rfam:Schistosoma mansoni, Puerto Rico, WGS project CABG01000000 data, contig: 0288